UCAACAUGCACCCACGCACUCACCCUCCCGUCAACUCUCCCCCCACCUCCCUCCACCCAGCGUUUAUUUGACUACCACCCGUCAGCACGGUGCAGAUGUCGGGGUCCAGGACAGCCGCUCCCUGUGUUACUGGAGUUCCAGUCUGGCAGGAAAGUGGAUGAGGUGCCGGUGAGCGGAGGGGCCUCGGGCACAGUGAGGACCACAGGUGCCGAGGAUGUGUGAGCCGGCGGCUUCCGGUGCAGGACCCGGUCCAGGCCAGCCUUAUUCGUGCGAUUUCAGAAGCGAACAAGAUCCUCUAAAACUCCAGCUUUCACGGGGCGCCGGGGCCUCAGGCAGAUACCUAAUCCCAAUGAAGCUGAGUGAAAAUCAUCAUCAGGGGCUGACCGGAAUACGCUGGAAGUUGAAGAUUGCCCUUGAACUUGCUCUGACUCGGGUCCCCGUGAGAGCCUCCUGGCCGGCGUGGGCUCUCAUACCUGUCCUCAAGCGGGCACCGUGGAGAGCUGGCCCUCUGCUGUUUCUUCUGUGUGAUGGGGGAAACAGAGCAAGAGAAAUGUCACUUAAAUCUCCUGACAGCUCGCAGCCCACUGACGGACGCCUGAAAUAUGUAGUGUGACCUUCCUCGAGCAACUCAUGGCUGCCUUAGAGCCUUAAUGUUUAUGGUUUUUUAAAUUUUUUUUAAUGUUUAUUUUUU